UACGGAGGGUGCAAGCGUUGUUCGGAAUUACUGGGCGUAAAGCGCGUGUAGGCGGCCUCUUAAGUCUGGUGUGAAAGCCCGGGGCUUAACCCCGGAAGGGCACUGGAGACUGGGAGGCUAGAGUACCGGAGAGGAAGGUGGAAUUCCUGGUGUAGCGGUGAAAUGCGUAGAUAUCAGGAGGAACACCGGUGGCGAAGGCGGCCUUCUGGACGGCUACUGACGCUGAGACGCGAAAGCGUGGGGAG
rnacentral:rRNA from 1 species